GAGACAGCAGUCGCCGCGGGAAUACGUAGGGUGCAAGCGUUGUCCGGAAUUAUUGGGCGUAAAGAGCUCGUAGGCGGUUUGUCGCGUCUGCUGUGAAAACGCGAGGCUCAACCUCGCGCCUGCAGUGGGUACGGGCAGACUAGAGUGUGGUAGGGGAGAUUGGAAUUCCUGGUGUAGCGGUGGAAUGCGCAGAUAUCAGGAGGAACACCGAUGGCGAAGGCAGAUCUCUGGGCCAUUACUGACGCUGAGGAGCGAAAGCGUGGGGAGCGAACAGGAUUAGAUACCCGCGUAGUCCCUGUCUCUUAUAC
rnacentral:rRNA from 1 species